rfam:Triticum aestivum genome assembly, contig: Triticum_aestivum_CS42_TGACv1_scaffold_593589_7BS
CAAGUACUCCCUCCGUCCAGAAAAGCUUGUCCCUUAAAUGGAUAUAUUUAGCAUCAAGUUAGUGUUAGAUACAUCCGAUUAAGGAACAAGUUUAGGACAAAAUUUUCCGGACGGAGGGAGUAUCAG